rnacentral:misc_RNA from 1 species
GAUGAAGAACGUAGCAAAAUGCGAUAAGUAAUGUGAAUUGCAGAAUUCAGUGAAUCAUCGAAUCUUUGAACGCACAUUGCGCCCGCCAGUAUUCUGGCGGGCAUGCCUGUCCGAGCGUCAUUUCAACCCUCGAACCCCUCCGGGGGGUCGGCGUUGGGGAUCGGCCCUCCCUUAGCGGGUGGCCGUCUCCGAAAUACAGUGGCGGUCUCGCCGCAGCCUCUCCUGCGCAGUAGUUUGCACACUCGCAUCGGGAGCGCGGCGCGUCCACAGCCGUUAAACACCCAACUUCUGAAAUGUUGACCUCGGAUCAGGUAGGAAUACCCGCUGAACUUAAGCAUAUCAAUAAGCGGAGGA